rnacentral:rRNA from 1 species
GACGAACGCUGGCGGCGUGCCUAAUACAUGCAAGUCGAACGCAGUGGGGACGGGUGAGUAACACGUGGGUAACCUCCCAACAGAGGGGCUAACACUUGGAAUCAGGUGCUAAACCGAUACUGCUGGAUGGCCCCGCGGUGCAUUAGCUAGUUGGUGAGGUAACGGCUCACAAAGGCAACGAUGCAUAGCCUACCUGAGGUGGUGUGCGGCCACACGGGGACUGAGACCCGGCCCAGACUCAUACGUGAGGCAGCAGUAGGGUUUCUGCGGCAAUGGACGAAAGUCUGACCGAGCAACGCCGGGUGAGGGAAGAAUGUUUUCGGAUCGUAGAACUCUGUUGUUAGAGAAGCGGUAUCUACCCAGAAAGCCACGGCUAACUCCGUGCCAGCAGCGCGGUAAUUC